CACUGCACGCCAGUGCGAUAAGGGAAUCCCAAGUGCGCAGGCAUAGAGCCUGCGCUUUUGUACACCGUAGGGAGGUGUACGAAUAAGGGCUGGGCAAGACCGGUGCCAGCCGCCGCGGUAAUACCGGCAGCCCGAGUGAUGGCCGAUCUUAUUGGGCCUAAAGCGUCCGUAGCUGGCCGCGCAAGUCCAUCGGAAAAUCCACCCGCCCAACGGGUGGGCGUCCGGUGGAAACUGCGUGGCUUGGGACCGGAAGGCGCGACGGGUACGUCCGGGGUAGGAGUGAAAUCCCGUAAUCCUGGACGGACCGCCGAUGGCGAAAGCACGUCGCGAGGACGGAUCCGACAGUGAGGGACGAAAGCCAGGGUCUCGAACCGGAUUAGAUACCCGGGUAGUCCUGGCCGUAAACAAUGUCUGUUAGGUGUGGCUCCCACUACGAGUGGGUGCUGUGCCGUAGGGAAGCCGCUAAACAGACCGCNGNU
rnacentral:rRNA from 1 species